GAGGACGACGCUGGCGGCGUGGAUUAGGCAUGCAAGUCGAACGGUAUCAUCCUUUCGGGGGUGAGAGAGUGGCGAACUGGUGAGUAACACGUAGGUUAUCUACCCUCAAGACGGGGGACAACCCAGGGAAACUUGGGCUAAUACCGGAUGUGAGCAACUUUUAGUUGUUUGAAAGGUGGCGUAAGCUGUCGCUUGGGGAUGAGCCUGCGUCCUAUUAGUUAGUUGGUGAGGUAACGGCUCACCUAGGCAAUGAUAGGUAGGCGGCCUUAACGGGUGGUCGCCCACACUGGGAUUGAGAUACGGCCCAGACUCCUACGGGAGGCAGCAGUCGAGAAUAGUCUACAAUGGUCGGAAGACUGAUAGUGCGACGCCGCGUGAACGAUGAAUCCCUUCGGGGUGUAAAGUUCUUUUAUAUGUGAGCAGUGCUUCUUAUAUUAACAGUAUGGGGAGAGAGAUAUUAGCAUAUGAAUAAGCAACGGCUAACUCCGUG
rnacentral:rRNA from 1 species